CGCCAUUUAAAAUUAUCUGGUUGCUAUGGAAACGUGAGGUAGCAUUUUUUGUUGUUACCUUGUUUUCUUCGUCAAAACUGAGCCCAGUUUCCCAGGAGAUGAGAGUAUGCCAUCAUAGGAAGCUAACAUAAAGUCUGUCCGUCACAAAGCAUCGAACCGCUGACAAAAAGGUUUGAUUUAAAGUUUUGUGCGUGACAAAAUUGGAAAAUUUGUGUAGUAUUCUGUGCUUGUGUUGAGGAAAAAGCCAUAUUUUAGUUGAAGAUGGUUGGGUAGAAAGGAAAAAAGCACUAUAUAAAGAUGACUAGGAAAGGAAAAGGUUUCUCUGGGAUACAAAGGGCAACAAUAAAGCGA
rnacentral:lncRNA from 1 species